rnacentral:misc_RNA from 1 species
CAGAGUUGCAAAACCCCCUUACCACCAUCGUGAACAGACCCCGAAACAGUUGCUUCGGCGGGAGGCAGUCCCCCCCUUCACCGGGGGCGGCCGGCCGCGACGCCCGCCGGAGGUACCCAAACUCUUUGUUUUAUAGGCCUCUCUGAGUCUUUGUACUGAAUAAGUCA